AUGAUCUCCCAAGCUCAAUUUCUGUGGCUCCUCAUGUUCUGGAUUCAGGACUCCAAUGGACAGAUAGUGCUGACUCAGACUCCAGAAUCCCUCUCAGUGUCUCCAGGAGACAGAGUCACUAUCAACUGCAAAGCCAGUUCCAGUGCUUCUAGCAGAAUGGCCUGGUACCAACAGAAAUCAAGACAAGCUCCUACACUCCUUAUCCACAGCUCUUUUACUCGUCCCUCUGGGAUCCCAGACCAGCUCAGUGGCAUUGAAUUGGGCACCGAUUUCACAUUCACAAUCAGUAGAGUGGAAACAGACGAUGCUGGAGAUUAUUAUUGUCAGCAGCAUUACAGCACCCCUCUCACAGUGACAGAGACCAGCACAAAAACCUCUCUGCUGUUUAGAUUCAGACGUUCAUUCAGUAUUUCAGCUGCUUCCUGA